rnacentral:lncRNA from 1 species
UUCUUUCUCUCUGUACUGUUUAUAUUUUAACUCUGUAAAUGUAUCUUCAGAAAGAAAAGGAAAGAAAGAAAGAAAUGAAGGGAGGAAGGGAGGAAGGGAGGAAGGAAGGGAGGAAGGGAGGAAGGGAGGAAGGGAGGAAGGGAGGAAGGAAGGAAGGAAGGAAGGAAGGAAGGAAGGAAGGAAGGAAGGAAGGAAGGAAGGAAGGAAGGAAGGAAGGAAGGAAGGGAAAGAAAAAAAACAAAGAAAAAAAGAAAGAAAAAACAUGGAAAGCACUUCAGGUGACAUCUUCCAUGGAGGACCCCUGUUCUUCAAGAUAGGAGAGAAUACUUCUUGAUCCACUAUAUAUGACAGAAUGGCCACAAACAACUGUAAUACAAUACAUCUUCUGUACAACAGGCUCCCCACUUUAGGUACUGAAAGGCCACUCAAGUCUUCCCAGAACCUCUCUUCUCCAGGCUGAACAGCUCCGAUAAUAAUUGAACUGUGAAGGUUUUCAGAUGUAUUCAAGCUAUCUACAAGCUAUCAACACUGACUAUCUACAGCCUCACAAAGUGCAAACCCAGAUUCUCUAUGACAAGAACCUGCAAAAUGCUGAGCAAACUCACUUCCGCACAAUGCCCUUGGGAUCUGAAGACAAUCAGAGUUUAAUCCUGCAGGAACUGUAGUCAAGAGCAGUAAGACAAGGCAUUCAACACCUUCCAGCAGGUGUUCAGCUUCAGUGCUGCUGCUCUCUGUGCACUACUUUUGUUUAUAACAAACCCUGUCCUGCUCAAAAAAUAAACCUUUGCUAAAUGUAUCCGAUCCUUUCACAGCUCCUAGCAUUGAUUUUGUUUUCAAUGUGAUGCUGGGGCAAAUUGUCAAAGUGUUUUCAACCCAGGACUACAGGGUAAAGGCAGACUUUCCCUCAUGAUGGUUGCUCACAUUUACUCCAGGAUGGGAUCAGAAACUCUGUUGUUUGUGACCCCAUGACACCAUCAAUGUAAUAUUCAAAAACAGAAUGAGAGA